rnacentral:lncRNA from 1 species
GAAACCUCAGAGUAUUUUGCUUCUCUUCCUUCUUCUGUCUCCUUUGUUUCAAUGAAACUCUAGUAUUUAUAGGCUAAUAUUGGUAGCUUAGUGGGCUUUUGAGAGAGGUCCAAGUUUGAGAUUUUUUCUUUUAUUUAUUUAUUUAUUUAAACUUUUUUUUUCUUCGUUUUUUUUUUCAUUUUUUUUUUAUAUUUUAAAUAAAGCUUCUUGGAUCUGAUUCUGAUUGACAUGAUGAAAUGCAAUAUGAAAUGUUAAAUGACCUAAAAAAGAAUGCAUGAAUGAGGAGGGCAAAUUUUGGGGUGUUACAACUAGCUAAAGAACUAUAAAACUUUUGGUGACCUAAGUGAAGAGGGGUAUGAAAACCUCGAUGGA